rnacentral:rRNA from 1 species
GAUGAACGCUGGCGGCGUGCCUAAUACAUGCAAGUCGAGCGAACAGACGCGGAGCUUGCUCCUCUGACGUUAGCCGCGCACGGGUGUGUAACACGUGGAUCACCUCCCUGUCUGACUGGGAUCACUUCGGGAAACCGGAGCUAAUACCGGAUGAUAUAUUGAACCGCAUGGGUCAAUGGUGAGAGUCGGUUGUUCGGUCACUUAUCGAUGGUUCUCCGCCGCAUUAGCUAGUUGGUACGGUAACGGCUUACUAAGGCAACGAUGCGUAGCCGACCUGAUUGACGGAUCGGCCACACUGGAGCGGAGACACGGUCAAGACUCCUACGGGAGGCAGCAGUAGGGAAUCGGCCGCAAUGGGCGAAAGCCUGACGGAGCAAGGCCGCGUGAGUGAUGAAGGCGUUCGGAGCGUAAAACUGUGUUAUGAGUGAAGAACAAAUGUGUAAGUAACUAUGGAGGUCGUGACGGUACUGAAUCAGAAAGCCACGGCUAACUACGUG